AGGGUGCUUAACAAUCUACAGUCUUUCCCUCGUGGUAUGGAAUGUAUCGAUCCACUUGGGUUGGGGAUCAUAGAUAAUAGAUCUUUAAGGUUGAUCACUGAAUCAUCAGAAAGCUCUCCAAAAUCUGACAAAGAAUUUCUGGAUAAUAGUCUUCGGGAGAAGUUGUUAUAUUUAUCUGAAAAGUUUGAUGAAAAGCUUUUUCUAUCCCGGAUUCAUCAAGAUACCAGUUCAGCAGACCUGGAGGCUGGUGCCCUUGCUUUAAAAACUGAUCUUAGAGGACGUAAUUUGCAGAGGAAACAAUUGGUUAAAGACAAUUUUGACUGUUUUGUCUCUUGCAAAACUACAAUUGAUGACAUUGAAUCAAAAUUGAAACGUAUUGAGGAAGACCCCGAAGGUUCUGGGACUUCUCACCUGUUCAAUUGCAUGCAAGGAGUAAGCUCACUGGCUAAUCGGGCUUUUAAACCUCUAUUUGAGAGACAGUCUCAAGCUGAGAAGAUCAGAUCUGUCCAAGGAAUGCUUCAGAGAUUCCGAACGCUAUUUAACUUGCCCAGUACAAUUCGAGGCAGCAUUAGUAAGGGUGAAUAUGACUUGGCUGUAAGGGAAUACAAAAAGGCGAAGUCGAUCGCUCUGCCCUCUCAUGUUAAUAUACUAAAACGUGUUCUUGAAGAGGUUGAAAAAGUGAUGCAUGAGUUCAAAGGCACACUUUACAAAUCGAUGGAAGAUCCUCAAAUAGACCUUACAAAUCUUGAGAACACUGUGAGAUUG
rnacentral:misc_RNA from 1 species